UACCAAGAUUGAGUCUGUUCGGGGUAACUAGAACUCUCGGUGUAGGGGUGAAAUCCGUAGAUAUCGAGAGGAAUGCCAAUCGCGAAAGCAGGUUACUAGGACAGCACUGACGCUCAGGGACGAAAGCUAGGGUAGCAAAAGGGAUUAGAGACCCCUGUAGUCCUAGCCGUAAACGAUGCUCGCUAGCUGGUCGCUCUUUUAGAGUGACUGGCGUAAGCUAACGCGUUAAGCGGGCCGCCUGGGAAUUACGAUCGCAAGAUUAAAACUCAAAGGAAUUGGCGGGGGAGCGUACAACCGGUGGAGCAUGUGGUUUAAUUCGAUACAAAGCGAACAACCUUACCUAGAUUUGACAUGUACCUGCAAAACUUGGGAUAACCAAGUCGCCUUCGAGGGUGGUACACAGGUGAUGCAUGGCUGUCGUCAGCUCGUGUCGUGAGACGUCCGCUUAAGUGCGGUAACGAGCGCAACCCUUGUUGUCAGUUAUAUGUAUCUGACAAGACUGCCCUUGCCAAGCAAGGGAGGAAGGAGAGGACGACGUCAAGUCAGUAUGUUCCUUAUAUCUAGGGCAACACACAUCCUACAAUGGGGUCGACAACGGGUAGCGACAGGGUAACCUUGAGCCAAUCCUUAUAAACGACCUCUCAGUUCGGAUUGAGGGCUGAAACUCGCCCUCAUGAAGAUGGAAUCGGUAGUAAUCGCAUAUCAUUAGGGUGCGGUGAAUACGUUCUCGCUCCUUGCACACACUGCCCGUCAAGCCAGCAAAGUCAGCAGCGCCCGAAG
rnacentral:rRNA from 1 species